AUGGCGAAUGCCGCCGAGCACCGCGUACAGAUGCAGGCAGCUCCUCCCUCCGGCAAGGUCGUCCCCGCCGCGCCGGAGAAGAGGCUGAAUCGCUUCGUGCACUCGAUCGCGUCGAUGGAGAGGGUCGGCAACGCUCUGGGCACGCUGGACUUCACAUGGGCGACCGUCGUCGUGCUCAGCGGCUACCCGACAGUGCUCCACGUGCUGGAUUUCUGGUUUGCCACGGCCAUAAUUUUCCUGGAAGGAUUGAGCCCACCCGAGUUCGAGUCCCGGCUCGGACGCGUGGUGCUCACGGAGUUUCUUCUAUAA
rnacentral:rRNA from 1 species